rnacentral:rRNA from 1 species
ACGUACACUCCUGCGGGAGGCAGCAGUGGGGAAUAUUGCACAAUGGGCGCAAGCCUGAUGCAGCGACGCCGCGUGGGGGAUGAAGGCCUUCGGGUUGUAAACUCCUUUCGCUAGGGACGAAGCUUUUUUGUGACGGUACCUAGAUAAGAAGCACCGGCUAACUACGUGCCAGCAGCCGCGGUAAUACGUAGGGUGCGAGCGUUGUCCGGAAUUACUGGGCGUAAAGGGCUCGUAGGUGGUUUGUCGCGUCGUCUGUGAAAUUCUGGGGCUUAACUCCGGGCGUGCAGGCGAUACGGGCAUAACUUGAGUGCUGUAGGGGUAACUGGAAUUCCUGGUGUAGCGGUGAAAUGCGCAGAUAUCAGGAGGAACACCGAUGGCGAAGGCAGGUUACUGGGCAGUUACUGACGCUGAGGAGCGAAAGCAUGGGUAGCGAACAGGAUUAGAUACCCGAGUAGUCC